UACGUAGGGUGCAAGCGUUGUCCGGAAUUAUUGGGCGUAAAGAGCUCGUAGGCGGUUUGUUGCGUUGGCUGUGAAAUCCCGAGGCUCAACCUCGGGUCUGCAGUCGAUACGAGCAAACUAGAGUGUUGCAGGGGAGACUGGAAUUCCUGGAGUAGUAGUGAAAUACGUAGAUAUCAGGAGGAACACCGGAGGCGAAGGCGGCCAUCUGGCGAGACACUGACGCUAAGGCGCGAAAGCGUGGGUAGCAAACAGG
rnacentral:rRNA from 1 species